CCUACGGGAGGCUGCAGUGGGGAAUAUUGGACAAUGGGCGAAAGCCUGAUCCAGCCAUGCCGCGUGUGUGAAGAAGGCCUUCGGGUUGUAAAGCACUUUCAGUGGGGAAGAAAGCCUUGGGGCUAAUACCCUCGAGGAAGGACAUCACCCACAGAAGAAGCACUGGCUAACUCCGUGCCAGCAGCCGCGGUAAUACGGAGGGUGCGAGCGUUAAUCGGAAUUACUGGGCGUAAAGCGCGCGUAGGCGGUCUGAUAAGCCGGUUGUGAAAGCCCCGGGCUCAACCUGGGAACGGCAUCCGGAACUGUCAGGCUAGAGUGCAGGAGAGGAAGGUAGAAUUCCCGGUGUAGCGGUGAAAUGCGUAGAGAUCGGGAGGAAUACCAGUGGCGAAGGCGGCCUUCUGGACUGACACUGACGCUGAGGUGCGAAAGCGUGGGUAGCAAACAGGAUUAGAUACCCUGGUAGUC
rnacentral:rRNA from 1 species